AGUUCCACAAAGAAAAACAACAACCAUGGCUGCCACCUCAAGGGCCCAAGCUGCGGAUACAGGAGAAGCAGGCCCAGCCACAUUGCACGCAACUCUACAAAGUCAACAUAGACACGGGUCUCGCCAAGCAAAAAGUAGGCCACACAAGAGGCCACGGAGUGAACUGAGGCAAUCAGUUCCCGCGUCUCAGCAACAACGGCGCAUUUCUCUUGUGGCCCCACAGCCUCCAGAAGAGUUUUUGGCGACUCCUCCAAGACAUGAGCCACACUCUCAUCAUCUUCCUGAAUACGACAUGCCCCAGGAAACACAGCAGGAGACAUUUAGUGAUGACAAUUCUGUGCAGCAACAGCAGCCUCCUUCACCAACCAGACCAAGCACUCCCACAAUGAGGACAACUCCGACACAUACACCACCAACUGCACAACUGAGAACACAAACAGCACAGCCGGAAAUCCGCUAAUCAGAUUUCUGGGACAGGUGGUCACACCAGCAAACCAUCGUUGGUGACUACUAUAUCCAACGCCAAACCCAAUUUCAGGCAAGUCUGCCACAUCACCUCCCACGCAUAUCAAGAAAUAGCAGCAGACUGAACCUCCAAAUGACCAGAAUUGCAAAUACACUUGAGCAAAUAUGUGCAGACAAUGUGCAAAACAACCAUGCCAUUAUCAGAUUAAUGGAUGAUCAGCUUAGACACCAACAGCAGUUCAUCAACAUCAUGCAAAACAAUCUGCUUAUAAUGCAAAGUUUAGCAAGUACAACUGAGCAAAAUUCGGAUGCCAAUACUCAACUGUCUGCCAGUAUAAACAAUCUUAGCCAGAACAUUUUAACAAUUCCACCACAAUCCCAAACAGCAAGCUCCGCAACCACCACACCCAACAUCACCCCAGUUACCUCCCCAGUACGGAGAUCCCAGAGAACCCAAAGUAAUGUUGCUGGACAGGGAUCAUCCUCUUCCAAAAAGCUGCACUAAAAAUGACACCUGAAGCUUCCGCAAACAUUUUUUGUUUUAUUUUAAUUACUCAGUAGAGUUUAUUAAGCAAGUUAUUGACAUUUAUGUAUUUUGAGUUAAUUUGACAUUCAUUUAUGAACACAUAUUUUUUGAAUAUUCCAACAUGUAUGUUUUAAUUUUGCAUUUGGGGUUACUGUUCUAACCUUCAAUAAAGGAUUUUGUUUCACUAGCAAA